rnacentral:lncRNA from 1 species
AAUGAUAGAAGAUCUAUGGACUUAAUAUUUAUAGAGAGAUUUAGGUUUAGAUCUCAUCUAAUCAGUUAUCAUAUGACCAAUCUAAUUGGCAUGGACUAAAUCAAACCACCAAGCAACUUUAUUCAAGACAAUCUUCCAAAUUGAUUAGGUAAGUAGAGAUCGGUUGGGAUCUUCCCGUUGCUUUCUUUAGACACCAAUAAAUUGAUCAAAUCAGUGAACAAAAUUAAUUAAAUAACUAUCUCUUAAUUACUUACCUUAGAUCAAUAGGUCAAUU